CCUACGGGAGGCAGCAGUGAGGAAUAUUGGUCAAUGGGCGCAAGUCUGAACCAGCCAUGCCGCGUGCAGGAAGACUGCUCUAUGAGUUGUAAACUUCUUUUGUACGAGGGUAAACGCAGAUACGCGUCUCUGUCUGAAAGUAUCGUACGAAUAAGGAUCGGCUAACUCCGUGCCAGCAGCCGCGGUAAUACGGAGGAUUCAAGCGUUAUCCGGAUUUAUUGGGUUUAAAGGGAGCGUAGACGGGCGGAUAAGUUAGAGGUGAAAUCUCGAGGCUCAACUUCGGAAUUGCCAUUGAUACUGUCAGGCUAGAGAGCAGUUGCGGUAGGCGGAAUGCAUGGUGUAGCGGUGAGAUGCUGAGAGAUCAGACAGAACACCGAUUGCGAAGGCAGCUUACCAAGCUACCUCUGACGUUGAGGCACGAAAGCGUGGGGAGCAAACAGGAUUAGAUACCCUAGUAGUC
rnacentral:rRNA from 1 species